GACAGAGGUGCCAAGCGUUAGGCGGAAUCACUGGGCUUAAAGCGUGUGUAGGCGGAGUUCUAAGUACCUUGUGAAAUCCCACGGCUUAACCGUGGAACUGCUUGGUAUACUGGUUCUCUUGGGCCAUCUAGGGGCGAGCGGAACAAACGGUGGAGCGGUGAAAUGCGUAGAUAUCGUUUGGAACGCCAAUGGUGAAAACAGCUCGCUGGGGAUGUGCCGACGCUGAGACACGAAAGCCAGGGGAGCGAACGGG
rnacentral:rRNA from 1 species